ACACCGAGGGCCCCAGCUCUCUGUGAAGUCUGUCACCUCUGCUCCAACGGCGGCACUUUCUGUUCAGCACCUGCACAAUUACUACAAUGUGAGCGGCGAGUGUCCAAAAUGGAAACAAUGUGUUUUUCAGUUGCUGUAACCCGAUGCUUAUUUCUAAAUUAUGUGAGGAUGUGUUUGUUCAGAUCCUGGACCACAAGAGUAAAAAAAAUAAUUAGUAAUACUUAUUUUUAUAUACCGCUAUAUUGUCCUAUAAUGCUGGGCAGGAUUCUCAAAAAAUACUUUUAAAAAUUAAUUUUACUGUCAAUGUUGCCACAGAAGCUUCAGCCUCUCAUCAUUACCAUCCAGAAUAAACAGGAAGUCACUUUUCCCACCCAGAAAUGCAUGCAGACUGCUCCUGACACUACACCGGUACAGUCUGUACUGCCCGUGACCGCACCAUUCCCUAAAAAAAACUUCACUUCCUGUCAUGUGACAGGACGUUGUGCCCGUUGUUUCAGGAAAUGUUGCGGGCGGGAGGAAGUGCUGGUUGUGUGGGAAAGCUUGAGGAGGCUGGUCUCUGCUUCAGGCCCUGAGCCAAACCCACACUGCGUCUCAUCGAGAAAGACUUUUACUUUCAGUCGACAGAUCCCCAACUCCACCAUCAGGUAUCGACUUUAACAGCAACUACCAAAGGAAACCAUGCAGGAGAAAAGCAGUUUCAUCUUUUCUUUUUUCUUGUACAAAUAUCUAAAACAAGCAGCAGAGUCCCUGUUCCAUUCAGAGGGGGCGGGGGGAUUCCACUGGUGGGCAGACCCAGACAGGAAUUCCAGGGCCAGCCAAUGGUGAUGGCGACGGCGAGCUUGUGUUUGCCUGUCGCCGUUGUGCUUGUGUUUUUGAAGUUUAGCUCUGGGGCAGACAGUGAACAGAAAAGAGAUCACACUGAACCAGAGAGAGAGAUGUAACACAAGAUACACACAGACACAACAACAGAGAGAUGUGCACACAAAUACCAGACAAAUGCACACUUUCAGUGCAAAAUAUUGCAUUAAUCAUCAAACUCAUGUUUACAAAUGCAGGGUUUCCAUAAUUUGUGCCAGUACUGUAUAUACCAGCCAACUAUAUUGUACAUCAUCAAAAGGAGAAAUUUUGGCAGCACUGAUACCUCAGAAGGUGACACAGUGAGAAGAUAUCUCACACACAGGUGAUUCUGGGGGGGUGUGGUGGGGGGGGCAGGGUAAAGGUUUCCCUUCUCAUUUCUGCUCCUCCCCCCUCCCCCGGUAAGCACAAGUGGGAGAUUCCUUGAACCACCCCCUGGUGGUGCCCACUUCUGAGUGUGAGCGGGGUUUCCCAAAAUGCAGUGGGGGGGGCUUUUACCAGAAUGCACUGCAGAGCGGGCACUCUGAUCUUAAUCAGACAGAUUGUAGAUGAACAGAGAGGAAAUUUCACUGACAUCAUCUGGGGGGACACCACACCACAGAUCUCUCUCGCUGUCUCAAAUUCUAAUUCUAAUUCUAAUUCUAAUGUGCUUUAUUUGCAUGACAAGUAUACUUGUGUUGCAAAAGCAAUGGGAUAUACAAAAUGACAAACAGACCCCUACAACCAGAACGAGGGAAAAAAAGUAUAGAUACGCACACACACACACACACACACACACACACACGCACAAAUGCACACAUACACACACAUACGCACACACACACCCAGGUUAAAAUAUAUUCAGUUCAUAAUACAACAAUUUAUGAACUUGCCACAAUUAAUAAUGAACACAUAUGAUAUUGUGUAUAAUAGCAGGCAGAGACAUACUGGGCUGCCACCUCUAUUGUGCUAUCCUCUUCCGCCAGAAGAAUCUUUUAUUUAUUUUGUUCCGAUAGGUAUUCAAAUUACUUGAGACAGGAAACAGGAAGUGCGCCUCUGUUUCCACCUCAGCCAAUUAGCUCAUUUAGCCAGGGUAUUUGAUGUGAACAAAACCUGCAUUCACACCGGCCCUCCAGGAUCAGAAUGGCCCACCCCCUAUUCUCACGGACGAGCUGCUCGUGCACUGUGAUGGGACAGUACAGACAGAUCGCAAGUACCCGACUGACCAGAAGAGGUGCUGUUGAGCAAUGAGAUGGGAACACUCUGACUAUUAUUUAAUACCACUGAGAGGUGUCUAGUGUGUAGUGUUAUAACAGGUGUCUAGUGUGUAGUGUGUACUCAGUACGUGUACUCUGUGCAAUGACAAUAAAGUUGAAUCUAAUCUAAUCUAA